GAUGAACGCUGGCGGCGUGCCUAAUACAUGCAAGUCGAGCGAAUGGAUUAAGAGCUUGCUCUUAUGAAGUUAGCGGCGGACGGGUGAGUAACACGUGGGUAACCUGCCCAUAAGACUGGGAUAACUCCGGGAAACCGGGGCUAAUACCGGAUAACAUUUUGAACCGCAUGGUUCGAAAUUGAAAGGCGGCUUCGGCUGUCACUUAUGGAUGGACCCGCGUCGCAUUAGCUAGUUGGUGAGGUAACGGCUCACCAAGGCAACGAUGCGUAGCCGACCUGAGAGGGUGAUCGGCCACACGGGGACCGGGACACGGCCCAGACUCCUACGGGAGGCAGCAGUAGGGAAUCUUCCGCAAUGGACGAAAGUCUGACGGAGCAACGCCGCGUGAGUGAUGAAGGCUUUCGGGUCGUAAAACUCUGUUGUUAGGGAAGAACAAGUGCUAGUUGAAUAAGCUGGCACCUUGACGGUACCUAACCAGAAAGCCACGGCUAACUACGUGCCAGCCGCCGCCGUAA
rnacentral:rRNA from 1 species